AGCAUGUGGUUAAUUCGAAGCAACGCGAAGUAACCUUACCAGGUCUUGACAUCCCGAUGCUAUUCUAGAGAUAGAAAGUUACUUCGGUACAUCGGUGACAGGUGGUGCAUGGUUGUCGUCAGCUCGUGUCGUGAGAUGUUGGGUUAAGUCCCGCAACGAGCGCAACCCCUAUUGUUAGUUGCCAUCAUUCAGUUGGGCACUCUAGCGAGACUGCCGGUAAUAAACCGGAGGAAGGUGGGGAUGACGUCAAAUCAUCAUGCCCCUUAUGACCUGGGCUACACACGUGCUACAAUGGUUGGUACAACGAGUUGCGAGUCGGUGACGGCGAGCUAAUCUCUUAAAGCCAAUCUCAGUUCGGAUUGUAGGCUGCAACUCGCCUACAUGAAGUCGGAAUCGCUAGUAAUCGCGGAUCAGCACGCCCGCGGUCGAAUACGUUCCGGGCCUU
rnacentral:rRNA from 1 species